UACGUAGGGGGCGAGCGUUGUCCGGAUUUAUUGGGCGUAAAGAGCGUGUAGGCGGCCAGGUAGGUCUGCUGUGAAAACUCGAGGCUCAACCUCGAGACGUCGGCGGAAACCAUCUGGCUAGAGUCCGGAAGAGGAGAGUGGAAUUCCUGGUGUAGCGGUGAAAUGCGCAGAUAUCAGGAAGAACACCCGUGGCGGAAGGCGGCUCUCUGGGACGGUACUGACGCUG
rnacentral:rRNA from 1 species